UACGUAGGUGGCAAGCGUUGUCCGGAAUUAUUGGGCGUAAAGAGCUCGUAGGCGGUCUGUCGCGUCGGCUGUGAAAUCCCGAGGCUCAACCUCGGGUCUGCAGUCGAUACGGGCAAACUAGAGUAUUGCAGGGGAGACUGGAAUUCCUGGUGUAGCGGUGAAAUGCGCAGAUAUCAGGAGGAACACCGGUGGCGAAGGCGGGUCUCUGGGCAAUAACUGACGCUGAGGAGCGAAAGCGUGGGGAGCGAACAGG
rnacentral:rRNA from 1 species